rnacentral:rRNA from 1 species
UAGGGAAUCUUCCACAAUGGACGGAAGUCUGAUGGAGCAACGCCGCGUGAGCGAAGAAGGUUUUCGGAUCGUAAAGCUCUGUUGUGAGGGAAGAACAAGUGCAGGAGUAACUGCCUGUACUUUGACGGUACCUCAUUAGAAAGCCACGGCUAACUACGUGCCAGCAGCCGCGGUAAUACGUAGGUGGCAAGCGUUGUCCGGAAUUAUUGGGCGUAAAGCGCGCGCAGGCGGCCUUUUAAGUCUGAUGUGAAAUCCCACGGCUCAACCGUGGAAAGUCAUUGGAAACUGGAAGGCUUGAGUACAGAAGAGGAAAGCGGAAUUCCACGUGUAGCGGUGAAAUGCGUAGAGACGUGGAGGAACACCAGUGGCGAAGGCGGCUUUCUGGUCUGUAACUGACGCUGAGGCGCGAAAGCGUGGGGAGCAAACAGGAUUAGAUACCCUGGUAGUCCACGCCGUAAACGAUGAGUGCUAAGUGUUAGGGGGUUUCCG